rnacentral:lncRNA from 1 species
UCUCCCAGUUUUCCAUUUGGCUGGUUUGGAUCCAGCUCCGUGUUGCUCCACCCCUCUCACACUUUCUUGAGGGUGUCAAGGUACUUGGCAUAGGAUUUCUCUCUCAGAGGCCAGGACCCGAAAAUUAAAAUGUUGAAGAUUUGGCAGUCAAGCUUUUACCAGUCUAUCAAUAAAUCUUUCACAAUCAAACCUGUGAGGGAUGUAAUCUCCUAACUCCUACUGUGAUCUUUUAUGAAUAUCUUAUUCCUAACGUAACUUUCUUUUAUCUCAGGUCAUUCCUAGGCUACUUUUUCACUGAAAUUUCUUGGAGUAUGUGGGAGGAGAGACUUUUAAAAUAUUUUUUUUAAUAGCAACAUUACUUUCAAGUUUUUUAUGCUUACCUCCCUCCAGCUCCCUUUGUGACUCAGAAAAUAGAAGGACAAAGGUGGAAUCCAUUCUUAAUUCAGCUUGGGUAAUAAAUCAUUUUGUCACAGUUAAACAGUGGGAAUAUGCUGGAGGAGAAACGCAGAACAGCCCUUUUCUCAUCAAAUACUAGUUCCCUGCUAGGGCUCAGAAACAAGGUUCACUUCAGAGCCUUGUUCCCAGCUUUGUCAUGUUACUGGUGGCCUUAUAUUCCAAGGCUUAUUCCAAGUGGCUGCAGACAGGUUUACAUAGAGAAAUAAUUUGCUCUACAGGCAUCCUUUCUGAGCACGGUGGUCACAGAAGGUGAGGAUGUCAUCAGCAGAAUAGGAGAGACACAUGGCCAAGCACUGGCUUGAAGCUGAAAAGCAAACCCGUGUCCUUGGCAGUGUGAGGAGUGAUUUCCCAGAGCUUGCUACGGGGAGAGAGUUGAAGGCUUCCAGGCCAAAGCACCACUUUGUCUCUGAGAAAAAUGUGGAAAUUCCAGAAAUGGAAAGAAGGCACUUGAGAUAUACAAUGCAUAACCUCAUUAUUUGCUCUGAAGGCUUUGGUCUUUCAUAUGUAAUGUAUACGUUCCCACCAGGAGUUGAAAAGGGAAUGUAGCUCAAUACAAAAUCCCUGAAUAGACCCAGUAUCAGAAAUUACUUGUAUUUUCUGCCAACACACUCUACCCAGAGGGAAUGCAAUGACUUCUUUAAAACUCAGAUACUAAAGGAAAUGAACCAGAUACGGAAAACUUGAAGUUCUCACUCUGGAAAAAUAUUUCUAUCCUCUGGCCUUAGCACAAACAAGAACUGUGCAUUUGCCCUAUGUCUGUUGGAGGUUUCAGAAAGCUGUGCGGCAUUAAAGAAAUGGGAGAUGUAGAGUACUCAGGGGCAAGGAAGACUGGUGGCAGGAGGUUAAAGAGAGGUGAUUCUCAGCAAGCUCCACCAAACACAGAAGAGCAGAAUGAUGACUUUGGGGAUCAGAUGACUGUGUCAGGAUAAAGUAGUUCAAGCACCACAGCAUGAAUCAGUAAUAUCCGUGCAGUAGCUAUCACAUCAAGCACUCGGUGUCUUCUGUGAGGUAGAACAGCAGUCACCAAAACUACUUGACAUACAUCGAACAAUGCCAGCGGCAAGGAUAACAGGAUGAAGAAGAUGAGAUCCCAAAAUGAAGACCUCGUCAUGACUGGUGUGAACAACAGAAAACAUGAAAUUUUUUGGUACCUCUUGCAUGAAUGGCUUGCUCAAGUGAAUAAGGUCUUGUACAACUUGUGCAGCUCAGAAUAAAACAGGGAUGUUUGAAAUGGACA